UUUUAAUUAUUUGCAAUUUAAAAUGAUUUUGAACAUUAUUUCUACAAAUAGAGAAAAGUUUUAUAAUAAUAUUAUUUUUACAAAUAUUGUGUAUUCCGAGUUCUAUACUUUUAUAUAUAGAUUUUAUUAUUAAAUUUGGGAAAUAUUUUAAAACCCCAAAUUGUUAUACAAUUUUUAUUAAUUGUGUGAAUAUGAUUUUAGUAUAAUAUUCAUACAUUUUGUUAAUUGGAAAAAGAAAGGUAGAUGUAGUACACGUGAAGUAUACAUUUUAUAGGCCCUGCGUAUGUUUAGUCUUUAUACUUAUAUAGAAAAGCAGAGUAAUCAGUCGGUGCAUAUAGUUUUGGAGGAAACAGGGGAAACUGAAUUAGGGUUACAGAAGUCGCCACCGUUAAGGAGGUGGAGCCAGCCUUGUGUGUACUGAAGCUUAUAUAGGCAUAUACUCACGGUUGUGUGUUGCUGUUGGUGCGGGUUCGGAGCAUAAGCGAUGGUGGUGGUGUGUCGAUUGAUGGCGGCGGCUUGCCGCCUGUUGGAUUGAUCGCGACUGAAUCGAUGGAGAAGGGGGCCGCGUUAGCAGAUGGAGAAAUAAGGUGAGAGAUCGAGUUAGAUAUGAUGGUAGAGAGGCUGGGUUGAUUGUGAAGCUGUUGAUGGUGCGGCGAAAGCAUGGAUGAAGGAUGGUUGCCGAGCGACGGUGAAAGUCGCAUGAGAUGCAGGUAGGGUGCGAGAACAGCCCUGUAGUGCUGCCGUGUUGUGGCUUAUAUGCUGCAGCGAGAAGGGAGGAGGGAUCAGCUGUGACAGAGAGAGGGAGGCAGACAAGUGUUUGAUUAAAUGUCUGUGAGAAAGAAAAGCUGGAGAAGGUGGGGUGCGGCUGCUGUUAGGUGUUGUAUAGAAGUGGGGGUGAUGAGUUGUGUUGGAAGUUGAAUGAAGGAGCUACUGUGAGCUGGUUUAUGAAGGCAGGAGUGUGUCGAUGGUUGUAGUGGGUCUGCUGGUUGGAGGCAGAUGCUUGUAUGGUUACCGGGGCAACGCGGAGGCAGUUGUUGUCACAGGUGGGUACUUGUGCCCAUAGGUCAGUCGUGUGAUUGAUUGUUGGAUUGAGUGCUGGUUGGAUUUGACGGGAGUUGUAGACGGUAGUGGGACAGCCAGAAUCUGGCCAGCCUAUUGCAGGAACAGGGGUAUGGGGAGGUGAUGUUCAUGACAUGAUUUGGUUGGAGAAAGUAAUGGGGAUAUUGAUAACGAUAAAGUCUGGUUCCGGCAGGUAGAGGUUUAGUUGUGGAUGGCGCUUUGAACUCGGCAAGUUGAUUAUAAUCAGGAGGGGAGUUUGAUGUGAAAAUUGAUGUAUAAAACAGUUCUGGCGUAGCCACCGGAGACUGGUCGGUGGUGCAAUACGAUUGUAGGUGUGUGUAUGAGUUGGAUACUUGUGGUGGAACAGUGCUUUAGACGGGAUAGUGGUGAAGGCUGGGGAAGAGGAAAUAUGAUAUGUUUUGUUAGAAGGGUUGCAGAAAGAAUUAGAGAGGAUACAGAGGUGCCAGGAGAAUAAAAUGUUAAUUUUAUUGUUGUUAUAAUUGUUAUUAUUGUUUUUAUUAACAAUGAUAAUAACGAUAAUAAUAAUAAUCUUUAAUAUUCUAUUGAGCCAAUUAUAGUCUCUCGAGACGUGUGCACCAACAAUUUUCAUAAAGCAAGCAAAUAGCGUGGCAAGGCAAGUCAGAAAUAAUUCGAUAAGGCAGAUGGUGCCGUAAGAUAGUCCAAUAGAGUGUGGUAAUUGGUGAGGUUAGCAAUUAAAGCCAAUCUAGGAAUCUCGAGUAUGUGACUAGGUUGUCACAAGCAUUUCUGUCAAAGGCAAGUAUUCCUAUUCUUCUCUUUUAUUUAAAGAGCAACUAUUUCAAUUCCUCUUUUCAUAAAGCAAGUUUGCAAUUAUAACUUGUACUUCCUGCAAGCAUGUUUCUGAUAUUUAAAAGUACUAAUGCUUCAAUCUUGUCUUGUGAUUUAAAAUAUCGAAUAUCUUUAGUUCGAUACUUUUUACUAUUAUAUGAGCAGUGACAACUUUCUUUGAAAAGUAUUCUGAUUAUUUUAAUCAGUUUUCUGGAAAUUAUUGUCUGAGUCCUUUUCCAGUUUGAAAACUAUUAAUGACUCCAUAGCAGUCAUAUUUCGAUACUACAAUAUAUGCCUGGUCUUCUGUCCCAGACAUAAACCCUGGAAAUUUUAAAUAGCGAAAAUAGUUGUUUUAAUUCCUUUGAGCCGCAUUGAGGUGGAUUUUAAAACUGUACUCAGACUUUAAUGAAAUUGAUUUUGACAGUAUUUUAAAACUGAAAAUGAAAGAGUUUUCAGAAAGGUUUUGAAAAAGAUGAUUGUAUGGCGUAAGGGGCUAGUGAUUAGUCCAGCCAGAGAGACCAGCAAAAUUAUUUUGUUUUGAUUGGAUGAAUGCGUAAGAGGCCGUGGCGGCGGUCCAGCGAAGGGCUAGGUAUUAUAUGAAAUAUAUAUAUAAUGCCAGAUUUGCCAAAGGCCAAUGUGUUGCCUUCUAUUCGGUACCUAUUGUUUGGAUCUACUUCUACGAAGCAUGAUUCGGUGCUAUCACAGGAUGUCCUGAUCAGCUGUGUUAGUGCGCCGUCAGUUGAGGAUUCCAAUCCAAAAACUGGUCAUUUAUUGUUUAAGCUUAUGAUAGCUUAUGUUUACUGUCAAAUAUAUCUUGUGAAUUUUCAAGCAUAUUGAUUUAUAUGUUUGAUAAACUUUUGAGUUACAAAUGUUAUGAUUUACUUCAAAAGUUUGCUCUAUUUCAAAUACUCUGAUUCAAUUCAAAAGAAUUUAUAUCUUGUGGCUCUUGCCUUUCCUAUUAUCUUGCUGAGCAUUUUUGCUCACUCUUGCUAUUGUUUCUCACCCUUUCAGCUAGGGAUUGAGAUAUCACCUGUAUAAGCUGCGCGUAAGAUUGAAGUUAGGCGAGAUUGCCAGGGAGAUGUUUACAAGAGUAGUUAUGGUUAGAAUUUGAUUUAUUUCAAUUCAGUUGUAAAUAGAUUUAUUUAUUUGGUUAUCAGUUAUUCUUCUUAUCGAAGUUUAGCUGUUAAUGUAGUUUAAGUUGUAAUAAGAUUGUAAGUUUUAGUUUCUGAUUUCAAUGCUGUAACCUAUUAGCGAUCCUGUUUUUAGGGGGUCAAAGUGAUUUUGAUUUAAAUCUCUUUUAAAAUUUCCAGAUUUUGAAAUAUCUGUUUUACCUUCUUCCGCAAAUACAGGUUUUUAAAUAAUUUUGUUUUAGUGGCACCAAAUCCAGACCCCCGGAUUUUGGGGAUGUCACAGUUGGUAUCAGAGCUGUAGGUUAUAAGUUAUUGAAAUCAAAAUAUAGGUGGUCUUACAAGUUAAGGAGAUGUUUAGUUGAACCUCAUAUAGAGGUACGUCAAGACUAUUGGGUAUAGUCUUUGCUAUUAGAACUGAGAUUGGAGUAUUGAUUCUGAGCAAUCACUUUGAGGUAUAUCCUAGUUUGCAGUUACAGGAUAGUGAGUUGGAUCUAAGGAGAAACAUGAUGGAACACCAUUAGUUUUCAAUCUUUUUGAACUUGAGGUUGACUUUUUGAGUAACCAAUCUCAGCUAGACUCGUUUGUAUACCUGUCUAGUCUAGAAUGUUUCUUUUCAUCUCUACCACUUUUUGAGUAUUAGUGGAGGGUCAUUUAUUGAUUUUCUAGAUAUAUAUAUAGAAUGAGUAUGAGACUUGUUGGGUUAGAGAUUCUUUGAUUUGAGGAUUAUAUAGAAUUCGUGUUUAGCUAUUUAAUUAGUGCUAUGAGUAGGCUAGAACUCCAACGCUCUACAAUGUUGAUUGUCUAAAGUUGAAGAUGACUUCUGAUCGUACCAAGCUGAAUAAGACUUUUUACUAAAGUGGAUUGCGGUGAUGGAAUCUUUAGAGUCGAAUACGAGUCGGUCAGAAUAUCAGAACAUCGAGAUGAGUCGUUAAAAUCGAAACGAGCCAUCAGAAGAAUCAAUCGAGAAGAUAUUUGUGUUCUUGUUGGCAAUACCUUCCUCAUUGUUGAUUAUAUUGAUUAUUUUCUCAAUCAAUAAUCUAUUUUAACAUCUCUUUUAUAAAGUUGUUUAUUAAAAAGCGUAUACUCUCUCUUGAGUAGUAUUGCUAUACUUGUGUUGGCCCAUAUUUUGGGUUUUGUGACAGAGUCUAAUAUGAUACCUAUUUUUAGGUUGUGGUAUGCCCUGUCGAGUUUGUGAAAAUUCAUUUAUACUUUUUCAUUUCUUCUCAAAAUGGUGAAUGAUUCUUAUUUCAAUAUAUCACCAUUUACUCGUUAUGUAUAAAUAUUCUUUCUGGUUAUUCUUUUCUCUAGAAUAACUCCUUUGAAAUUUUUUUCAGUUUUGAUCCAAGGUGUGCAUCAGAUUUUAAUUCGUCGAAAGACAAUGAUCAUUUAUCUGAUUCUAAAAUUCCUUUUAUAAUUAUUUCCUCUAACUGAGAUGAACAACCCUAUUCGUAGGGGACACAAUGACUACCUGUCUGUGUGAUAGGAGUUUGAUGGGACGCCAUCACUUGUGUGUUGUGCAUUACAAGAAGGCUAAUUACCUUUAGUAGUAUCUCCAAUUAGAUACGCAACAUAGUUCUCUAGAUCAUAUUGAUCUCUCAGUAAUUCUUAAUUUCAAAGUAGUUUUGUUUUUGAAACUAAUACAUAUGACAAUUACUUUAAUAUAUCAAAUCUGAUAUAUUUCAAAAAAAAAAAAAUUCAUGAUUCUUCUUUCUCCAAUUAAUUUUUGAGGGUAGGCCAGCCAGUUUUGGACGAGCUAAUCAUGCCAAUGCAUUUCAAGAUUUCGUAUAAGACUACAUUUAUAAAAGCAGAUCAUGAUUCGACUUGCAAGCAAUGACGUGCUCUAGUUCUUUCUUCGUGGAUUCCGAGGACGGAAUCCUUGUAAGGGGGGAAGUUUGUGAUGACUCGGAAAAUUAUAUAAUUGUUUAUUAGUUGUUAUUAAUUUUCUAAAAAGAUGAGGAAUAAAAUUUUAUAUUUUAUUCCAAUUUAUUGGGUUUUCCAAAACAAUUUUGAGAUUUUCUAUAAUUAUGUGAUUAUUUGAUUUAAUUGUGUUACUUGUUAAAUGUGCAUUUGAUUUGUUAUUUUAGUCUGAGCGGGUAGCUUAGAAAAUUUGAUUUAUGUUAUUCUUUUUGAUAAAGCAAAAUUGUCUUUUGAUUUCAAAACCAAUAUUUAUUUUGAAUUGAGCCCAAGAGUUUUGCCGGAUUUAAAUUACCAAAAUAUUCAAAUUGUGGUAUUUUUAUAUUUUUGUUGGAAUCAAAAAUAUUUGAAAGUUUGCAAAUGAUUAUUUUAAUUAUUUGCAAUUUAAAAUGAUUUUGAACAUUAUUUCUACAAAUAGAGAAAAGUUUUAUAAUAAUAUUAUUUUUACAAAUAUUGUGUAUUCCGAGUUCUAUACUUUUAUAUAUAGAUUUUAUUAUUAAAUUUGGGAAAUAUUUUAAAACCCCAAAUUGUUAUACAAUUUUUAUUAAUUGUGUGAAUAUGAUUUUAGUAUAAUAUUCAUACAUUUUGUUAAUUGGAAAAAGAAAGGUAGAUGUAGUACACGUGAAGUAUACAUUUUAUAGGCCCUGCGUAUGUUUAGUCUUUAUACUUAUAUAGAAAAGCAGAGUAAUCAGUCGGUGCAUAUAGUUUUGGAGGAAACAGGGGAAACUGAAUUAGGGUUACAGAAGUCGCCACCGUUAAGGAGGUGGAGCCAGCCUUGUGUGUACUGAAGCUUAUAUAGGCAUAUACUCACGGUUGUGUGUUGCUGUUGGUGCGGGUUCGGAGCAUAAGCGAUGGUGGUGGUGUGUCGAUUGAUGGCGGCGGCUUGCCGCCUGUUGGAUUGAUCGCGACUGAAUCGAUGGAGAAGGGGGCCGCGUUAGCAGAUGGAGAAAUAAGGUGAGAGAUCGAGUUAGAUAUGAUGGUAGAGAGGCUGGGUUGAUUGUGAAGCUGUUGAUGGUGCGGCGAAAGCAUGGAUGAAGGAUGGUUGCCGAGCGACGGUGAAAGUCGCAUGAGAUGCAGGUAGGGUGCGAGAACAGCCCUGUAGUGCUGCCGUGUUGUGGCUUAUAUGCUGCAGCGAGAAGGGAGGAGGGAUCAGCUGUGACAGAGAGAGGGAGGCAGACAAGUGUUUGAUUAAAUGUCUGUGAGAAAGAAAAGCUGGAGAAGGUGGGGUGCGGCUGCUGUUAGGUGUUGUAUAGAAGUGGGGGUGAUGAGUUGUGUUGGAAGUUGAAUGAAGGAGCUACUGUGAGCUGGUUUAUGAAGGCAGGAGUGUGUCGAUGGUUGUAGUGGGUCUGCUGGUUGGAGGCAGAUGCUUGUAUGGUUACCGGGGCAACGCGGAGGCAGUUGUUGUCACAGGUGGGUACUUGUGCCCAUAGGUCAGUCGUGUGAUUGAUUGUUGGAUUGAGUGCUGGUUGGAUUUGACGGGAGUUGUAGACGGUAGUGGGACAGCCAGAAUCUGGCCAGCCUAUUGCAGGAACAGGGGUAUGGGGAGGUGAUGUUCAUGACAUGAUUUGGUUGGAGAAAGUAAUGGGGAUAUUGAUAACGAUAAAGUCUGGUUCCGGCAGGUAGAGGUUUAGUUGUGGAUGGCGCUUUGAACUCGGCAAGUUGAUUAUAAUCAGGAGGGGAGUUUGAUGUGAAAAUUGAUGUAUAAAACAGUUCUGGCGUAGCCACCGGAGACUGGUCGGUGGUGCAAUACGAUUGUAGGUGUGUGUAUGAGUUGGAUACUUGUGGUGGAACAGUGCUUUAGACGGGAUAGUGGUGAAGGCUGGGGAAGAGGAAAUAUGAUAUGUUUUGUUAGAAGGGUUGCAGAAAGAAUUAGAGAGGAUACAGAGGUGCCAGGAGAAUAAAAUGUUAAUUUUAUUGUUGUUAUAAUUGUUAUUAUUGUUUUUAUUAACAAUGAUAAUAACGAUAAUAAUAAUAAUCUUUAAUAUUCUAUUGAGCCAAUUAUAGUCUCUCGAGACGUGUGCACCAACAAUUUUCAUAAAGCAAGCAAAUAGCGUGGCAAGGCAAGUCAGAAAUAAUUCGAUAAGGCAGAUGGUGCCGUAAGAUAGUCCAAUAGAGUGUGGUAAUUGGUGAGGUUAGCAAUUAAAGCCAAUCUAGGAAUCUCGAGUAUGUGACUAGGUUGUCACAAGCAUUUCUGUCAAAGGCAAGUAUUCCUAUUCUUCUCUUUUAUUUAAAGAGCAACUAUUUCAAUUCCUCUUUUCAUAAAGCAAGUUUGCAAUUAUAACUUGUACUUCCUGCAAGCAUGUUUCUGAUAUUUAAAAGUACUAAUGCUUCAAUCUUGUCUUGUGAUUUAAAAUAUCGAAUAUCUUUAGUUCGAUACUUUUUACUAUUAUAUGAGCAGUGACAACUUUCUUUGAAAAGUAUUCUGAUUAUUUUAAUCAGUUUUCUGGAAAUUAUUGUCUGAGUCCUUUUCCAGUUUGAAAACUAUUAAUGACUCCAUAGCAGUCAUAUUUCGAUACUACAAUAUAUGCCUGGUCUUCUGUCCCAGACAUAAACCCUGGAAAUUUUAAAUAGCGAAAAUAGUUGUUUUAAUUCCUUUGAGCCGCAUUGAGGUGGAUUUUAAAACUGUACUCAGACUUUAAUGAAAUUGAUUUUGACAGUAUUUUAAAACUGAAAAUGAAAGAGUUUUCAGAAAGGUUUUGAAAAAGAUGAUUGUAUGGCGUAAGGGGCUAGUGAUUAGUCCAGCCAGAGAGACCAGCAAAAUUAUUUUGUUUUGAUUGGAUGAAUGCGUAAGAGGCCGUGGCGGCGGUCCAGCGAAGGGCUAGGUAUUAUAUGAAAUAUAUAUAUAAUGCCAGAUUUGCCAAAGGCCAAUGUGUUGCCUUCUAUUCGGUACCUAUUGUUUGGAUCUACUUCUACGAAGCAUGAUUCGGUGCUAUCACAGGAUGUCCUGAUCAGCUGUGUUAGUGCGCCGUCAGUUGAGGAUUCCAAUCCAAAAACUGGUCAUUUAUUGUUUAAGCUUAUGAUAGCUUAUGUUUACUGUCAAAUAUAUCUUGUGAAUUUUCAAGCAUAUUGAUUUAUAUGUUUGAUAAACUUUUGAGUUACAAAUGUUAUGAUUUACUUCAAAAGUUUGCUCUAUUUCAAAUACUCUAAUUCAAUUCAAAAGAAUUUAUAUCUUGUGGCUCUUGCCUUUCCUAUUAUCUUGCUGAGCAUUUUUGCUCACUCUUGCUAUUGUUUCUCACCCUUUCAGCUAGGGAUUGAGAUAUCACCUGUAUAAGCUGCGCGUAAGAUUGAAGUUAGGCGAGAUUGCCAGGGAGAUGUUUACAAGAGUAGUUAUGGUUAGAAUUUGAUUUAUUUCAAUUCAGUUGUAAAUAGAUUUAUUUAUUUGGUUAUCAGUUAUUCUUCUUAUCGAAGUUUAGCUGUUAAUGUAGUUUAAGUUGUAAUAAGAUUGUAAGUUUUAGUUUCUGAUUUCAAUGCUGUAACCUAUUAGCGAUCCUGUUUUUAGGGGGUCAAAGUGAUUUUGAUUUAAAUCUCUUUUAAAAUUUCCAGAUUUUGAAA